CCUACGGGGGGCAGCAGUAGGGAAUCUUCGGCAAUGGGGGCAACCCUGACCGAGCAACGCCGCGUGAGUGAAGAAGGUUUUCGGAUCGUAAAGCUCUGUUGUAAGUCAAGAACGAGUGUGAGAGUGGAAAGUUCACACUGUGACGGUAGCUUACCAGAAAGGGACGGCUAACUACGUGCCAGCAGCCGCGGUAAUACGUAGGUCCCGAGCGUUGUCCGGAUUUAUUGGGCGUAAAGCGAGCGCAGGCGGUUAGAUAAGUCUGAAGUUAAAGGCUGUGGCUUAACCAUAGUACGCUUUGGAAACUGUUUAACUUGAGUGCAGAAGGGGAGAGUGGAAUUCCAUGUGUAGCGGUGAAAUGCGUAGAUAUAUGGAGGAACACCGGUGGCGAAAGCGGCUCUCUGGUCUGUAACUGACGCUGAGGCUCGAAAGCGUGGGGAGCAAACAGGAUUAGAUACCCGAGUAGUC
rnacentral:rRNA from 1 species